CUCGAGGACUGAGUGCAACGGUUCCUCCUCCUCCUCCUCCGAGCACCUCCUGAGUGGCCUCUGCGAAUUUCCGUCUGGCAUGGACUUGAUCUUACUAUAAAGGCCUGGCCUGGAACUCUCUAUAUAAACCCUGCUGGCCUGGUUCUUGGAGGUCACCACCAUGUGUCAUGCUACCAAGGGAAAAGAAACCAUGAAGAUAGUAAAGAAUUCCAGAGAAAGGCAGAAAUUUGUAAAACAAACACACAGAGCAGAGCAUCUUCUGCCCAGUUUCGGAGGCCAAAAGAAUCCCUGGUCAAGAACAGAGCUGGAGCUGUGGGCUGGGGAGUGACAGGUCAGUAGUGACAAGUGGCACUGCUUAGUAUGAAUGAGCCCUUAAACUUCCAGCUCCAUAACAAGUAAAUAAACAGCUGUAACACUGG